GAUGAACGCUGGCGGCGUGCCUAAUACAUGCAAGUCGAGCGAAUGGAUUAAGAGCUUGCUCUUAUGAAGUUAGCGGCGGACGGGUGAGUAACACGUGGGUAACCUGCCCAUAAGACUGGGAUAACUCCGGGAAACCGGGGCUAAUACCGGAUAAUAUUUUGAACUGCAUGGUUCAAAAUUGAAAGGCGGCUUCGGCUGUCACUUAUGGAUGGACCCGCGUCGCAUUAGCUAGUUGGUGAGGUAACGGCUCACCAAGGCAACGAUGCGUAGCCGACCUGAGAGGGUGAUCGGCCACACUGGGACUGAGACACGGCCCAGACUCCUACGGGAGGCAGCAGUAGGGAAUCUUCCGCAAUGGACGAAAGUCUGACGGAGCAACGCCGCGUGAGUGAUGAAGGCUUUCGGGUCGUAAAAUUCUGUUGUUAGGGAAGAACAAGUGCUAGUUGAAUAAGCUGCACCUUGACGGUACCUAACCAGAAAGCCACGGCUAACUACGUGCCAGCCGCCGCCGUAA
rnacentral:rRNA from 1 species